rnacentral:rRNA from 1 species
CCUACGGGUGGCAGCAGUGAGGAAUAUUGGUCAAUGGGCUAAGGCCUGAACCAGCCAAGUCGCGUGAGGGAAGACGGUCCUAUGGAUUGUAAACCUCUUUUGUCGGGGAGCAACGAGGCCACGUGUGGCCGAAGUGAGAGUACCCGAAGAAAAAGCAUCGGCUAACUCCGUGCCAGCAGCCGCGGUAAUACGGAAGUUCCGGGCGUUAUCCGGAUUUAUUGGGUUUAAAGGGAGCGUAGGCCGCAUGUCAAGCGUGCUGUGAAAUGUCCGGGCUCAACCCGGGCCUUGCAGCGCGAACUGGCGUGCGUGAGGCCGCGGAAAGCAGGCGGAAUUCGUCGUGUAGCGGUGAAAUGCUUAGAUAUGACGAAGAACCCCGAGUGCGAAGGCAGCUUGCUGCAGCGGAACUGACGCUGAUGCUCGAAAGCGCGGGUAUCGAACAGGAUUAGAUACCCCGGUAGUC